rnacentral:lncRNA from 1 species
AUGGCCAUUCCCGUUGCAAACUCUUCUAUCACGUCGCUCUCCCCAGGGGUGGCUUGGGAGGCGACGAUUCGGCCGCCCCUCUCCUCCACCUCCCUUCUCCUCCUCACCGUCGCCCGAGCGGCCGCCGGCAAAGCCGCGUGGCCGCAAGGAUGGCGGCGUCGGGGCUCUCCUUGUCUUCUCGCGCUCAGGCGGUCUAGGGAGCCGCCCGGAGCGGCGACGGCGGUGACCGCCAAAUCCGCGCCAUUUCGGCCGGAUCUGGCGGGGUGGCUGGCUACGGGGAAAGCGGUGGGGACGGGUGAUGGUGGCGGUCGAGGUGAGUUGCACCGGGUGGAGUUCGGGGAUGGCGACGACGAUAGGGCGGUGGUGGUGGAGGCGCGGAUCCGGCGGCGGCGCGACGGCUGGUGGUGGGCAGCGCACGCAGGCAUCCCGCGACUGCCACUGGCGUUCUCCGACGCUUCUUGGCGUCGGCCAACGUUGGUGGUGAGGAGGGCAGCCGGAUCUGGCUUCUUGCCCAAAUCCGGCGCAUCCUCGUGUGGGGACGGGGUGGAUUGGUGUUCGGUCAUCUGUGCAGGUGGUGUGAAUAUUGCAGGUACCCUCGGUGUGCAUGUGACAUUUGGUGGCUCCCGCCGUGGAUGCUAUGGUUGAUGGGUGCUCU